GCCGCACGUCAGAAAGGAAAAAUCAGUGCCUCCCGACCCUUCUCUCGCUGGGCACAACAACCAUGGCGAUGGAUCUGCAGUGUCCGUAGCCGCUCCACCUCGGGUUCCCUGACCCUUCUUCUCUAUGCUGGGCGGAGCAACCAUGGCGGCGGAUCCGCAGCGUCCACGGCCGCUCCACCUCGGGCAGCGCGGAUCACGGCCAGCGGCCCGAUGGAGGCGGGUACCGGCGCGGUUGCUUUUCUGCCCUGCGCUCCCUCCAUGUCUCCUCCUGCGCCUCCGGUGGCCAGACGCCUCUUCCACUCCGACCUAGGGGCACCCUCAUCGUUGGCGGAUUUUAUAUUUCUCAGGUCAGCCAGUGUGCAGCCACACCUGGUCAACAUCCAGUUUCAGAAGAAUGUACAGCUGCAAGUAACCACGACGAGUAAACGAUCUUCCGUUGCCUUCCGCUCAAUUUUGUUUGGAUGAUUCCUUUCAUCGAGUCUUCGAUAAACCAAAUAGUUACUAGAGUAGUUAAUUAGGAGCCUAAUCAUGUGUAACUAUUGUGCAUCGAGUCUUCAAUAAACUAGAGCAGUUUCUACAUGCAAGAAGUAUCGAAUAGUAUUUGUUCUUGUUCCAUGGAGUAGCGAGCGAGAGAGAGAGAGAGAGAAAGUGAAUUUUUUUGCAGGUUAUUAUAUACAGUGCUUGUUUCUCACAGUGUGCUUUUACGUGUGAUUAUAUAUCAUCCAUUAAUUAGUUCGGUUCAAUCUGGGCAUGCUUUUAGACUUAGAAUCGAUCUUGAUUUCCUCGUGCCACCUGUAUCUGUAUAUGUGCAGCGCAGGCGAAGUCGAAUGACAAGAACCAGCUAGAUGAGGGCAUCCAUUCGAAACACAUAUCUAAUCUUCUAUGUGUGGGAUCCUUUUUCUGAUCUGAAUUUGUUGUUGGGGCGAGCUUGUUACUCUCUACAUGGAUUUCAAGUUGGAUGAGAGCUACACGCUGAGCAAGAUCUCCAUCUGGACUGGCGACGGCUUCCACAAUCUCAAGGAAAUUCCUCUUUUCGGAAGAUAGCAGCGAGGUGCCCAGUAAGAGCACACACGUAUCUCUGAAUUAUAUGUUAUGAUCUGUGCUCUAUGGUGAGAGCACAUAUCAAUUGUUUUUGAACAAUACUCAGGAACACGAGAACUACCAGCAUCUUAUGGAUAUUCAUCAAAUAACAGUACAUCAGCCAAUGUGUAUGUGGUGGUCUAAACCAAAUGUUAGGCACAAAAUGAGGAUUAUGUGCACAGUUGGUCCCUCAACUAACACAAGGGAGAUUAUCUAGGAUUUUGCUGAG